GACGAACGCUGGCGGCGUGCCUAAUACAUGCAAGUCGAACGAGAGCGACCGGUGCUUGCACUGGUCAAUCUAGUGGCGAACGGGUGAGUAACACGUGGGUAACCUGCCCAUCAGAGGGGGAUAACAUCCGGAAACGGAUGCUAAAACCGCAUAGGUCUUCGAACCACAUGGUUUGAAGAGGAAAAGAGGCGCAAGCUUCUGCUGAUGGAUGGACCCGCGGUGCAUUAGCUAGUUGGUGAGGUAACGGCUCACCAAGGCCGUGAUGCAUAGCCGACCUGAGAGGGUGAUCGGCCACAUUGGGACUGAGACACGGCCCAAACUCCUACGGGAGGCAGCAGUAGGGAAUCUUCCGCAAUGGACGCAAGUCUGACGGAGCAACGCCGCGUGAGUGAAGAAGGUUUUCGGAUCGUAAAACUCUGUUGUUAGAGAAGAACAAGUGCUAGAGUAAACUG
rnacentral:rRNA from 1 species